rnacentral:tRNA from 1 species
CGGGCUGUGGCGUAGCUUGGUAGCGCACAUGACUGGGGGUCAUGGGGUCGUAGGUUCAAAUCCUGUCAGCCCGACGA